CUUUUUCUUCCGGUUGAGUCUAGUUUGUCUUCACUCUUUGAACACUUGGAGACAGGAAUUAAUUCCCCUGGUCACUGUGUCACUCAUUUGUCAGCUCACUCGGCUGCUCACCACAUCCAUGUGUUCCCAUCUUUAUUUAGCUCAGCCUUUUUUUUUUCAAGCAAGAAGGGAGAUUUCUUAGGAGAACAUAGACAGCCCAAGGACAAGCAGAGAAUAGAGUAGCUGGUCCUCCCCAAAGAUGGGAGCCAGCAACUGUUUAAGACAUGAGAAGCCAAGCCUGCUGUAUCUUUUGGCCAUUCUGGCGUCACACAUUCACUCACCUCUGCUCCUCUUUGUACAUCACUAGACCCUUCCAUCUUUUAAAUCUCUUGGCUUCUCUCCGUUUCCACUGCCAUGACCCUAGUGUAAAGUACUUUUCUUUUUUUUUUGCCUGGGAAACUGAGGCAGCCUCCUGAAUUUUCUCCCGAAUCCCACCCUUGCCCAUUUCCAAUCUGUGUCUCUCACUACAGCCAGAGGGAUUUUUAGAAAUGAACAGUUUAUUCAACAGAUUUCACUGAUCCUAGGAAAGACGUCAAACUCAUAAGCACGAUAGAGACAGACUGCUCUGUCAACCUGAGUGCAGAGGGGAGAGGAGACGAAGGAGAGCCACAUGUGCAUGUAGUCUGAGACAUAAAGAAACUUUAUUGUAGGCCA